UUCUUGGGUAUGACGCUACGAGCUUGGCACACAAGUAUAUGGGGAGUCUCCCAUUCUUCUCUAUUUUCAGGUCUCUCCAGAGAUGUUCGAUCGGGUUCAACUCUGGCCCCUUCCUCCCCUGGCUGUGCCGUGAAGGGUCCAAGAGCACUUCAGCAGUUAGAGAUGUUAUCUUAACAGCAUCAGAAGAGACAUCCAUGGCUGGAGUAAUUUCAUAAGCAGAAUGCUGUAAGGGUUGUGAGGUUUGCAUUUUCAGCCCAUUUCAUUAAAAACUCCAUGAGUUCCAUAUGGAAUGUUGAAUGGAACCUCUGCCCAGCUCAGAAGGUCUUGGCAUCCAGAUCCAGCAGGAAAAUGCUUUUCUCCUGGAAACAGAAAUAUAGAGAGGAACAAACACAGGCUCAGAUGGGAACCGAACAGGGUGGCACCACGCCUAUACAAAGAAAAUGUAAAUGCAUUACGCCCUUAAAAAUUUGACACAACAGUACGUUUCUCGGUCUCUAGAUUAAUAUUCAUAGUAGUAGCAGGAUGGACGCGGUAUGGACGCACAUUGUAGUGGGCAUAGUUGAUCUAUGGGAACUCCAGGUCACAGUACUGGAGCAACUCUUCAUCAGAGAUCCAAGUGAUUACAGUAUACUGUAUGUCAGGUAGACAUGGCAACAAACACAUCACCUUUUCUUUUCAUCAACCAGAACAUGCGUCACAAUGCCUUAGCGUUAACAGACAGAGUUAGCCAUUUAUGGUAUGAUGAUUAUGGUAUGAUGACUAAAGGGGUUGCAGGUUCAUUUCCAAUUGUGCUUGAGUGCUUUGCUUCCCCUCUUAGAGCAACAAUCCUUAGUUUGGUAUAAGACAGACAAUGGUAUAAAAAUGUCAGUCAAACACAAACACAAACACACACACACAGUGUUUUCUGCAGUUGCUUGACAGAAAGGUUGAGUGACAAGGUUUUGGUCACGAGGUGUGUCAUUAGUCGCCUUCAGGGGUAGGAUGUAUCUCAGUCGUGUGGGAUCAAUAGCAUCUCAAGUACAAAGAAAAAAGAAAUCUCAUUAGCGUGCAAGAUUCAUGCAGGGUAGUAACGUAAUGAGUUGUGAUUUUGGUUCAUUGUUUACCUAGCUAGCUAGCUAAUGUUAGCUGGCUGGCUCGCUAGCUAAUGUUAUGUGUAUGACCUCAUUAUUCGUAUCUCAGAGCCAUUUGCUAAGCUAGUUAUAGCCUGAUGUUAGCUAGCUAACAUUAAACCUGGUUGGUUAGCUACCUGCAGAUUCAUGCAGGUUAGUAACAUCAUGAGUUGGGAUUAUGGUUCAUUGUUUACCUAGCUAGCUAGCUUCAUGUCUUAACAAAAGACUCCACUAUGCAAGUAACCAUUUCGGGUGCGUUCGUAAAUUCAGUCUGGCCAUCUACUCCGAUUUCAGAGCACUCUUAUCUGAGUGUGCCAGAGAGCACAGAACAAUGAUGAAUUUACAAACGUUCAACACCCGUUGAAUAUGGCCAGUAAACGUAGGCAAAAAAGUGUAAUUCAAUUGUUGCCAUUAGCACAGUUAGUCACCAACGCUCUGGAUAACAUGAAAACAGCCAGCUCUGCUAGGGCGAAUAAAAUGGUCAGAGUGGGGUGUUCUCUCAUUAUGUGUCUGGAAGUAGCUUGCAAGUUCGCCAAUGUUAGCCAGUUAGCUUGGGUGCUUGACUGCCGUUCGGAUCAACCCUACUCAUCGGCCAUAGCGUCCGGUGUGCGCUCUGAAUGCGAAACGCACUGCAUUUUCAAACGGACAAUCUGACAGCACAAUUUCAGUCACCAACGCUCUGGAUAACAUAACAGCCUAACCAGCCCUGCUAUGGCGAGUAAUGUUCAGUGAGCUUUUCUCUCACUUAGAUGUCUGGAAGAAGCUAGCAAGUUAGUUUGGGUGCUUGACUGCUGUUGUUAGUACAUUCUGAUCAACCCUUAAAAAGAUGGUUGGGGCUAAAGCUUAAGAGGGUGUGAGCGAUGCCGAAUGGGUGUAGACAAGGAAAGGCUCUCCAAUAGUAGUACCAAAGCAUUAAAGGGCCAUAAAAGUGAGUUUACAAGUUUAUCAACUUUCAAAGCAAAAU
rnacentral:lncRNA from 1 species